UAGCUCAGUGGCAGAGCACUUGUUCACUAUGCAUGAGGCCCUGGGUUCAAUCCCCAG
rnacentral:tRNA from 1 species